CCGGGCCGUGCCGGAGGCAUGGUUAGUGCGCACUGUCUCCCCCCACAACGCGCGUCCUGUCUCCCCCGGGCUGACCGCACAGACAGCAGGCACUGCAGAGGUGCCCCGGCCAAUCACCCUGGGGACAGAUGUACACUUCCAUUGGUUGACCCCUGGAGCUGGGGGAGGAGAUGCCACUGUCUGGCUCCUGACUGACCGAGUAUGGAUCUCUGCUGAAUCGCAUAGGGAGUCGUGCAAAGUUUGGAAAGGCUUCCCUCUGCAGGCUUCUUGUGGAACUGCACACCCACUUUGCUCACUCUUCUGGCCUUAAUUCUCACAUCUGCUACUGCCAGCAGUCUGUCUCUGCUCUGUUUUCCCAUUAGAGUCACAAAAAUAGGCCAAAGGGAGUAGGGGGAGACAACUACAAAGACAAAGUGGACGAGGGAGAGGAGAAGAAGAAGAUUUUGCACAAGUUUGUUAAAUUACAGCAGGUUUGCAG